rnacentral:rRNA from 1 species
CACGGGGGGAGCAAGCGUUGUUCGGAAUCACUGGGCGUAAAGGGCGUGUAGGCGGUUGCGUAAGUGGAAUGUGAAAUCCCCCGGCUUACCCGGGGACCUGCAUCCCAAACUGCGCGACUUGAGUAUGGGAGAGGAUGAGGGAAUUCCUGGUGUAGCGGUGAAAUGCGCAGAUAUCAGGAAGAACACCUAUGGCGAAGGCAGCACUCUGGGACGGUACUGACGCUGAGACGCGAAAGCGUGGGGAGCGAACAGG